rnacentral:rRNA from 1 species
CGAGAGGAAGGAAAGCUUGCUUUUCUGAAUCUAGUGGCGAACGGGUGAGUAACACGUAGGUAACCUGCCCAUGUGCCCGGGAUAACUUCUGGAAACGGAUGCUAAAACCGGAUAGGUAGCAGACAAGCAUUUGACUGCUAUUAAAGUGGCCUUGGCCAUGAACAUGGAUGGACCUGCGGUGCAUUAGCUGGUUGGUGAGGUAACGGCCCACCAAGGCGACGAUGCAUAGCCGGCCUGAGAGGGCGGACGGCCACAUUGGGACUGAGACACGGCCCAAACUCCUACGGGAGGCAGCAGUAGGGAAUUUUCGUCAAUGGGGGGAACCCUGAACGAGCAAUGCCGCGUGAGUGAGGAAGGUCUUCGGAUCGUAAAGCUCUGUUGUAAGAGAAAAACGGCACUCAUAGGGAAUGAUGAGUGAGUGAUGGUAUCUUACCAGAAAGUCACGGCUAACUACGUGCCAGCAGCCGCGGUAAUACGUAGGUGGCGAGCGUUAUCCGGAAUGAUUGGGCGUAAAGGGUGCGUAGGUGGCAGAUCAAGUCUGGAGUAAAAGGUAUGGGCUCAACCCGUACUGGCUCUGGAAACUGAUCAGCUAGAGAACAGAAGAGGACGGCGGAACUCCAUGUGUAGCGGUAAAAUGCGUAGAUAUAUGGAAGAACACCGGUGGCGAAGGCGGCCGUCUGGUCUGGAUUCUGACACUGAAGCACGAAAGCGUGGGGAGCAAAUAGGA